rnacentral:misc_RNA from 1 species
GAUGAAGAACGCAGCGAAAUGCGAUAAGUAAUGUGAAUUGCAGAAUUCAGUGAAUCAUCGAAUCUUUGAACGCACCUUGCACCCUUUGGCAUUCCGAAGGGUAUGCUCGUUUGAGUGUCAUUGUACUCUCACUCUCCCGAUGCUUUUGGAUCGGGAGUGGUGGACUUGGGUGUUGCUGCUUUGCUGUGGCUCGCCUCAAAUGGAGUAGUGCAACUCUUGGUUGGACAUAGUACGGCGUGAUAAGUGUCUUCGCCGGCGCCUCAUUAUAGAGGGUGGCCGAUCGGGAGCUCUGUGCUUCAAACCGUCUUCGGACAACAUCUGACAACUUGACCUCAAAUCGAGUAGGACUACCCGCUGAACUUAAGCAUAUCAAUAUGCGGAGA